rnacentral:rRNA from 1 species
UACGAAGGGUGCAAGCGUUACUCGGAAUUACUGGGCGUAAAGCGUGCGUAGGUGGUUCGUUAAGUCUGUCGUGAAAGCCCCGGGCUCAACCUGGGAAUGGCGAUGGAUACUGGCGGGCUAGAGUGCGGUAGAGGAGAGUGGAAUUCCCGGUGUAGCGGUGAAAUGCGUAGAGAUCGGGAGGAAGGCCGGUGGCGAAGGCGGCGCUCUGGAACGUUUCUGACACUGAGGCUCGAAAGCGUGGGGAGCAAACAGG